rnacentral:rRNA from 1 species
GCGAACGCUGGCGGCCGGCCUCACCCCUGCCAGUCGCACGAACCUUUCGGGGUUAGUGGCGGACGGGUGAGUAACACGUGGGAACGUGCCUUUAGGUUCGGAAUAACUCAGGGAAACUUGUGCUAAUACCGAAUGUGCCCUUCGGGGGAAAGAUUUAUCGCCUUUAGAGCGGCCCGCGUCUGAUUAGCUAGUUGGUUGAGGUAAUGGCUCACCAAGGCGACGAUCAGUAGCUGGUCUGAGAGGAUGAUCAGCCACAUUGGGACUGAGACACGGCCCAAACUCCUACGGGAGGCAGCAGUGGGGAAUCUUGCGCAAUGGGCGAAAGCCUGACGCAGCCAUGCCGCGUGAAUGAUGAAGGUCUUAGGAUUGUAAAAUUCUUUCACCGGGGACGAUAAUGACGGUACCCGGAGAAGAAGCCCCGGCUAACUUCGUG